GCCGGGAGGGCGGCCUGGAAGAGGAGGUCGGGGGCGAAGGGGGCCGAGGAGGAAGCCCUGCCAGGAGCCCGGAAGUGGGUCCGCACGAGACGGAAUAGACUACACUCAAACUCCAGGGGAACCGUUCAUUGGGCUUGGCCACGAAGGCGGGUCCCUGCCGACGCAGUGAUUGGAUGCAUGUCCUGUCAGCGCGGUGAUUGGACCUCCGCGCUCUGGCAGCUCCUCUUCCGUGUGCUCUCGCCACUCCCUGUGGGCAACGCCUUGGCCUCGCUCGCCCUGGAGGCCCAAGCCCACUUGGUGAAGUCAGCACUAUGCUCCCAGGGCUACCCGAGGCUAGCACUGGCACAACUACCUGAGGAUGGCUCGCAGGGCAGUCGGGAGCUGCUGCUGGCUCUGUCCUGGCUCUUGGCCCGAGGACCUGUGCCUGAGCAGAUGCUGGCCCAGGCCCGAGUGCCUCUGGGUGACGAGAUGACUGUGUGCCAGUGUGAGGCCCUGGCCAGCCCUGGCCCACCUGCACCCCACAUGGAAGCAGAGGGUCCUGUGGAUGUCCGCCGUGUGCAGUGGCUGAUGGGAAAGCUGCAAUUCCGGUGGCGCCAGCUGGUGUCCAGUCAGCAGGAGCAGUGCGCCCUCCUGAGCAAGCUGCUGCAGACUCUGGAGCGUGAGAACCAGCGCUUGGAGGCUGUCCUGGCGUGGCGGCACACUGAGCUGGUCUUCUGGCGGUGGAUGGACACGGUCCUGGGCACCUGUGCCCCAGAGGUGCCUGCUGCAGCCUCACAGCCCACCUUCCUGCCCUGGGUCCCUGAGCGUGGGGGUGGCGAGUUGGAGCUGGUAGUGCGGGAGCUGCAGGCACUGGAGGAGGAGCUGCGGGAGGCUGUGGAGCGCAGGCGGGCAGCCUGGGAGGCCAAGGCUGGAGGCUGUGGACGGGGGCCAGAGUGGAGUGCUGCGCGGCGGGCCUCUCGGGAGGCUGUGGAAAAGGAGCUGGGAGCUCUACAGCAGUGCUGGAAGCAAGACAGUGGCCCGGCCCGGCCCCAUGGGCCACACCGGCUGGUGAGACGAGAGGAUGGGGCAGCAGGG
rnacentral:sRNA from 1 species